ACCACCGAGACCUGUGGUAACUUAGGAAUGACCGGGGUGGAGAGCGGCGUGAGUUUCUACAAGACAUCUUGCUUUAUUGAAGGUCCUGUUCCAAGGAACCUGUAGGGAUAGCCACCCCGCGCCCAUGGGACACGUCCACGGAGGAUGGCUUCUGCUUCGCCACGAGCCUGCGGGAAGAGCCAGCCUGCGCUUGAGGUGAAGGUUUCUCCCCAGGCAGAGGCCGCGGCUGAGGGUGGUUUUUGUGUGUGUGUGCGUCUCUUCGCGACAUUACGACGCCUCCCGCCGCCUGCGCUGACGUGAGCGCGGGGUCGCGGCGGCCACUAGCCGGGGACUGGGACGCGCUCAGCUGGCGGCGCAGGAAAGCUGCUCGGCCUCGGGGAGACCUCUUCCCUGAGGGUGGGCUGAAACUGGGGCUGCGAUCUCCGCCUGCGCUGCAGCCCAGGAGCACCAGCAGAACCCUUCAGAGGAGAAGAACCAGGCUGGGUCCUCAAGGAAUCACACGAGAUGGAGCCCCCACUAAUGCUGGAGCAGGCCAUUAGCGUUCUGUCACACCCAAGAAAUGAAUCUGAAGGAAGAGGACAACCAAGAAAAUAUCCAAAUCUUCACAUUUGCACACCAAGAACACAGGGUCCUGACAGCAGAGCAGAAUGACCUGCACACAGAGCCACAUGCUACCAUCGAGCUUGGCCUGCAAGAACACCUGCUGUGCCCUAGCAAAGUGAGCUUCCAUUUCCAGCUGAUGCACUUACUUUCCAGGGUGGACGCUGUCCUCAGCACUUUUCAUCUUAAAGAAGUUGCAGUCACUGGCCUUUUAGAAUACUUCCUACUCACAUAGGUGCAUUUGCCACCAAGUUGCAGUUGCUACCAUGACACCAACCUGACUACCCUGGGCAGAUGACCUCACCAAUGUGUCCUGAAACCUUACCUCUCCAAGAGCCCUACUCCACUAAGGAGAGAUAGAAACAGGCCGGGGGUAUGCAUCCACCGGUCAAUACCCAUGUCCAGCAGAGAAGCAAUUACAGAAGCCAGAACUUCCACCUUCUGCUUCCCAUAAAGAUUUUUGGUCCAUAUUCCCACAGAGAUAAAGAAAAGGGAAACUUCUAAGUAGGGGAGAGGAUAUUGAACUCUGAUGGUGGGAGCUGUAUGGAAUUGUACCCUUCUUAUCCCACAAUCUUGUCAAUCUUUAUUAAAUCACUAAUAAAAAAAUACA